UACGGAGGGUGCUAGCGUUGUUCGGAAUCACUGGGCGUAAAGCGCGUGUAGGCGGUCCGUUAAGUCUGAUGUGAAAGCCCGGGGCUCACCCCCGGAAGUGCAUUGGAAACUGACGAACUCGAGUCCCGGAGAGGAGGGUGGAAUUCCUGGUGUAGCGGUGAAAUGCGUAGAUAUCUGGAGGAACACCGGUGGCGAAGGCGGCAUCCUGGACCGGUAUUGACGCUGAGGCGCGAAAGCUAGGGGAGCAAACGGG
rnacentral:rRNA from 1 species